GCCUCUCCGAGCUCCGGCGGCCAGCGACCGUGGAGUGCUCCCAAACCACCGCGUGCCAAUAGGGCAAUCGACCGGCACGUUUCGGUUCCAACCGAACCGACCGAGCCGUAACCCCUAAGUGGCUCGAGGUCUGCUCACUGGCUUAUCGCAUCACAUCCUCACUCCUCAGCUCUCAACCACCACCACCGGCGGUGGAGCAUAACCUCAAGGACGCGGCGCUGGCUCUUAUCCGUCUCCUCGCUGCCACGGACGUCCAUGACCUCCUCCCCCUCAUACCCACUGACCCCUCCCAACUCCAAUGGCAGCAUGUCCGCCAGCUGCUCGACAAAAUGAAACGCCCGACCAACUGACCAGCAUCCAUGCCCAAUCUACUCCAUGUUAUCGAAAAUGUGAUGUUGUUCAUCACGGGGAUACUUAUUCAAGAGUGCAUGUGUUUUAAAUCAUGCGGUCAUUUUGAUGACCAAUCCAAGACUCAUUUCAAGGUCCGUGGAUGGGAUGCUAUCCAGUGAAUGUAAGAUUUCUGCCUAUGAGAGUACUGGUACUGAAGGAGGCAGAUGCUGGACCUCUCAGCGGGGAGCAAAGUUUUAUGAGGACGACCCUUUUGCACCAGUUGAAAUCUUCUAAUGUAGAUGGGAAGAGUCUGUUUUGGCAGAGCACAAGUACCAUCGGUGAGAAGGAAUUGCAGAACUGUGAAGCGACAGCCAUCAAGCCAUUUCAUGAUCAUUGGGAUCCAGUAUUCCACUACAAUUUCAAGUCGGCACAGUCUGCCAAAAAAAUUGUUGCCACCAGAUUCCAAGGCGCCUAGGCAGCUAUCAAUCCGAUCUUAUGUUGAGGUUGAACAAGGGGCCACGACAGUAAAACAUGCAGUAUCUUGCCCACUGCAUUUCGUCAACCCAUGCCUCACCGUGUAGGUAAUCUUCAUCUUAAAAUAGAAAUCUACAAGGAUCACAACUAAUGAUUUGAAUGAUCAUUUCUCAUGAAUGAUGGUUUGGUUCGACCUGACUUUUGUAUGGGACAUCUGAAUCUCAUAAUGUAGGCCAGUGAAAAAGUACCCCUGCUUAUGAAACA